rnacentral:rRNA from 1 species
AUUGCACGCUGGCGGCAGGCCUAACACAUGCAAGUCGAACGAGUGGCGGACGGGUGAGUAAUGUCUGGGAAACUGCCCGAUGGAGGGGGAUAACUACUGGAAACGGUAGCUAAUACCGCAUACCAUCGGAUGUGCCCAGGUGGGAUUAGCUAGUAGGGGGGGUAACGGCUCACCUAGGCGCCGAUCCCUAGCUGGUCUGAGAGGGUGACCGGCCACACGGGAACUGAGACACGGUCCAGACUCCGACGGGAGGCAGCAGGGGGGAUUAUUGCACAAUGGGCUAAAGCCUGAUGCAGCCAUGCCGCGUGUAGGAAGAAGGCCUUCGGGUUGUAAAGUACUUUCAGCGGGGAGGCGUUACUCGCAGAAGAAGCACCGGCUAACUCCGUGCCAGCAGCCGCGGUAAUUC